AACCGUUUGUCGUCGUCAACUAAAAGUGCAGAUCUUGAUUAGGUCCCUGUGGAGAGACCACGGCACAGGUGAUUUGUAAGCUUAGAUGAUGAUUUUUCUCCACAGCACGCUGGGGCCUGCACUGCUAGUAUGGUGCUUACUAAUUGUGAUUGGGACAGUGUCACAUGCGAAGAAAAUAAAAUUCCCGGACACGACACCCAGGCCACCCAUCAAAGAUUGCUCAAUUGACCUGUGUCUUGCCAUCGACACGUCUGGAAGUUUAGAAGUAGAGACCACUGACGGAAAGACCGCCUUCGACCACGUGAUAGACUUCACCCUCAGCCUCAUGGAACGCAUAAAUAACUUGGGGCUGGACGUCGAUCCACGCUACGCCGCUGUUGUCUUCUCCCAUACUGCCAGAGUUUACUUCAACUUCAAUAUUAAUCAAGAGAUGAAAACGCUUAGACCAAAAUUAAAACGCCUGAAGUUGUUUGGUGGAGGGACGAAUAUACCGGAUGCCAUG